rnacentral:rRNA from 2 species
GUCCCACCUGAUCCCAUGCCGAACUCAGAAGUGAAACGCCGUAGCGCCGAUGGUAGUGUGGGGUCUCCCCAUGCGAGAGUAGGGAACUGCCAGGC